AUGAGGAGCGAACAGUACCUGGACGUGGACGCCGCCGGCCGCAUCAUCGCCUUGUUGCCCAGAAGAAGCGACCGUCGACGCUGCCGCUGCCUCCAUCUCUAUCACGUCGCCGUCGGCGAUGGCCACGGCCCUCCCAUUCCCGUCCUGCUGCUGCCCUCGGUCCCUUCCGAUGCUUCCCCUCUCUUCCAUUUCUCUUCUCGUCUUCUGGGAUGCACUCCGUGUGCUAACAUAGGCUUGACUUUGACUUUUCUCAUCGAGGCUGGCUUUGUAUCCAUUCCAAUCCCAGAUGCAAGCUGCACUCAAGGAAACAUCAAUAUGGUUGAUGGAGUUUGGGUGGGAUGGAUUUUGGAGGGUGUUUUUAGGUUUGGUGCUGCUGUCAGUGUGCCAAAGACAGCUGAUUUCAUGGAUUGGUUGAUCAUGAAAAUUGAUCCUGAAAGGAGCAUGUUCAGUCAUAAAUUGAAGACUAUACAUUUUACAAGAGACAUGGUGCCCAAAAAUUUUAACAUCCCAUGCGGGAGCAGGCCAGUGGAGGUGCUGAAGAGGAACGAGCCACACGAGCUGCGCAACAUUUACCGAUCUGGGAGCAGGGCUCCAAUCAACCGUUGCAUCAAUGUGCUUUGUGAGGCGAGCAACAACGAUGUUGUUACCAUUCAGAGGUCUUGGGUUUUACUUUCACUUGGUCUUGUGCUAACCCCUGGCACUGAGAAUGUGAUACCGAUAGAGUACCUUCCUAGCUUGAUGGAUAUCGAUAAGUUGAAUGAGUUUGCUUGGGAUGAGCAUGUAUUGGGUGUUGCUAUGAGAGAGGUGAAGAAGUACCAACAAAAGAGGAAGUCUGGACUAGGUGGGUUCUGGAUUGGAGGGUGUCUACCAAUGUUUGCGGUAAUAUACAUGGACUUCUUGGACAUUCCUAGGACUCUGGCUGGUGUGCACACAUUCAACUGGACUCUUCCUAGGGCGUGCUUUGUCAGCACUGAUGACUUCAAAAUCGUUGCAGAACUUGAUAGAAACAAGCUUUCCCUCCACAAGGUUGAAUUUGGGAAACGCAAUCUUCACCUUUUGUCAAACACCCCAUAUGCAACAAAGGGAUCCCACAUCAAUGUUGAUUGUCAGAAGCAACCGCAUGGGUCAGCAGCUCCUCCCCCCGAUGCAACAAGAGCACACAACACGGACGAUAAUGACUUAGGCGGCGAUGACCUCAUUGUGUUUUAUGCUUUGGAGCAGAUCCCGGAGCAUAUGCAACAAAUAUAUGAGAAGCACAAGAAUCUGCAUGAAGUGGAGUUGAAGAGCACUCUGAAUUCUGUUGGGAAGUCAAGGAGGAAGGAGGAUAAGGGCGGAGGAGAUGUAACAUUCGUUGCAGGUGGAAGCAACGCAGCAUCCGCGCCUAAUACCAGCGCCUCAGCUCAACAACCUGAAGUGGAAAGGCAAGUGUCAGCUGGCCCCAGGACUCCUAGCUUCGAAGGUGCUGGUGAUACCGUGUUGAAACAAGGGCAGAGUUGCGCUCAAGUCGGCAAGGGGCCUUUAGACUUGGGAAAGGAGGUUGAACAGGAGGUUUCACAGCAGGAUGUUUCAAUAGAGGUCGAUGCAGAAGCAAGUCCACGUGUCAACCAUGGCAAGGAUGCUGAGGGCGUUGCUGCCAAUGAUGGCACGAUUAUCCUAUCACAGGGCACACUGAAAGCAAUGGAAGCCGCUGCAAUGGAAUGGGAUGAUGGCCCAUCGUGUGACCUUUUUCCAGUUGGGAGCGAAGACUACGAGUGGUUUCACCAGGAAGUGCCACCUAAAUCUUCAAAGAUCCCAUAUGUAGUUGCCACUCCCUCUGCUGCGAUGCACUCGGAUUCAGCGGGGCCUACAUUUGACAAAACGCCAGAGGCAGCUAGGGCUAAUGUGAAUAAGAUUGCACAUCCAAUUGCAACAGACAUCUCUUCUUCUCUUUUUGACAGCGAUCCAAAAGUUUCCACCUCAAAUGAGAUCAACAAGCCUAUCUUUGAUGCAUCUCCUGUUGUCACCACAGCAACUGUUGGGUCUUUAGGUAAUUCAACUAUCUCUGGAUUUGGAACACCAAAUGUUGAUUCCAGCAGUGGGCCAAGUUGUGCUUCGAAGAAGGCUGUCAAGAAGAAGAAAGGGGCUGCCCAGUCACCUGAUGGGGUUCUGAAGAUGAAGAAGAUCAAGAUUGAUGCAACCGGGGACUCUUUACAUCAGCAGUAUGUUAUGAACAGAUACAAGUUAAGGAAACCAAAGGAAGGCGAAUCUCUCCUUGCUUUCAUUGAAAUAGAUGGCUUCCACACCUCCCUUCAGAAUUUCCAUGCCUCGCUAAAGCCACGAGCCGAGAUUGACAAUGAGGUCAUGACUCUCUACCUCAAAACUUUCAACAUAGAGCAAAUUUGCAGCAGGAAGAAGCUGAAGAAGUUUGCAUUCUCAGUUUUUAUGAGUGGUCAACUGGCUGCUGAGCCUGAAGUUUUUGAUCCUAAACUGUGUGAAAGGGAGUUUAGGAUGGCCUAUGAGAGCAGCAACAUAUCAAGUUGCGAUCUACUUUUCUUUAUAGUUGUCCAGAAGAGGCACUGGGCUGUAGUUGUUGCAAACUUGGCAAUGAAGCAAUUCAACAUUUUCAACCCAAUAAAGAACAACAAAGAUGUGCAACUGCUACACAAGGCAACCAGCAAUAUGAUCACGAACCUAAACAGAGUGGCAAGGAGUGAACCAGCAUUCAAACAUGAUCUCGAUUUGUUUGAGGAGUUUAAUCCACAGCAAGGAACUUACUAUGAUUGCAGAUUUUUUGCUAUUCUGUACUUGGAGAACUUCGAUGGUGUGGUCAUGGCAUCAUUUGAUCAGGAAUACAUUCCAAAGCUGCGGAUGAGGAUUGCAUCAGAUCUGUUGAGGCACCCUGACAACAAGUUGGACCCUGCGGAGCAGCUGAAGAAGAUGCUGCAUCAAAAGGGUGGUCGUUCUUGA
rnacentral:rRNA from 1 species